ACCGGAUGUUGCUAUUUUUAGAAACAGAAUGUAUUUCCCGGCUAUUCAUAGGUCAAUAAUGGAAUUUCUACAUCGUAGGAUUGGGAAACAUUGUGAUGUUUUUCUCAUGAAUAUACGUUUAAAAUAAAUAAACACUAAAAGUACACUCUGACAGUUGAUUACGAUACAUCUAACAAUUUGAGUCAUUACAGUAAAACAUGGAUUAUAAGUGAAAUAUACGCGUAAGAGAAGAUUUUCUCUCGAAAAAACGAACUGUCAACAAUCGGCAUGGAACUGGGAUAUUCGUAUCAAAGGGCUCAGAAUGCAGGAAAAUGACUGAAUAUUACUUAGUCAACAACACUGGGUUAUGAAGAAUUCCAGCCUGCAUUAAAUACUAUGUUGGAUCCUUGAGAGCGGAUUUGACAGCCAUGUCCAUCCACAAGGCAGUCGCAUCUGAUCGAGAUGAUCACUAAACAUUCUUGAUGGGUAAAGUACCUGAAGGUGCAUGAAAACCAAAUCAGCAUUGACUCAGCAUUGAGUAGUUAUCAUCUGUGUGCACACACUACAAGUACAAAGCAUGGGAACAGACCAAACUUCAAAU